rnacentral:rRNA from 1 species
UACAGAGGUCUCAAGCGUUGUUCGGAUUCAUUGGGCGUAAAGAGCUCGUAGGCGGUUGGGUAAGUCGGGUGUGAAAACUCAGGGCUCAACUCUGAGACGCCACUCGAUACUGCCCUGACUCGAGUCCGGUAGGGGAGCGUGGAAUUCCCGGUGUAGCGGUGAAAUGCGCAGAUAUCGGGAGGAACACCAGUGGCGAAGGCGGCGCUCUGGGCCGGAACUGACGCUGAGGAGCGAAAGCGUGGGUAGCAAACAGG